rnacentral:rRNA from 1 species
CCCUUAGAUGUUCUGGGCCGCACGCGCGCUACACUGAUGCAUUCAACGAGUUUCUUCCUGGUCCGAGAGGAAUGGGUAACCUUUUGAAAGUGCAUCGUGAUAGGGAUAGACUAUUGCAAUUAUUGGUCUUCAACGAGGAAUUCCUAGUAGACGUAGUUCAUCAGACUGCAUCGAUUACGUCCCUGCCCUUUGUACACACCGCCCGUCGCUCCUACCGAUGAGUCGUCCGGUGAAGUUCGUAGACCUCGUGAUUGCGGAUCACUGGGGGAAGCAAAAUGAACCUCGCGGUUUAGAGGAAGGAGAAGUCGUAACA